AUUGAACGCUGGCGGAAUGCUUUACACAUGCAAGUCGAACGGCAGCACGGACAUCGGUCUGGUGGCGAGUGGCGAACGGGUGAGUAAUGUAUCGGAACGUGCCCAGUCGUGGGGGAUAACGUAGUGAAAAUUACGCUAAUACCGCAUACGAUCUAUGGAUGAAAGCGGGGGAUCGCAAGACCUCGCCCGGUUGGAGCGGCCGAUAUCAGAUUAGGUAGUUGGUGGGGUAAAGGCCCACCAAGCCAACGAUCUGUAGCUGGUCUGAGAGGACGACCAGCCACACUGGAACUGAGACACGGUCCAGACUCCUACGGGAGGCAGCAGUGGGGAAUUUUGGACAAUGGGCGAAAGCCUGAUCCAGCCAUUCCGCGUGCAGGAUGAAGGCCCUCGGGUUGUAAACUGCCUUUGUACAACGAAAAGGUUUCUACUAAUACUAGGAGCUCAUGACGGUACUGUAAGAAUAAGCACCGGCUAACUACGUGCCAGCCGCCGCGGUAA
rnacentral:rRNA from 1 species